rnacentral:rRNA from 1 species
AGAGUUUGAUCCUGGCUCAGGAUGAACGCUAGCGGCAGGCCUAAUACAUGCAAGUCGAACGGUGUCUUCGGACAUAGUGGCGCACGGGUGCGUAACACGUAUGCAACCUACCUUACAUUGGGGGAUAGCCUUUCGAAAGGGAGAUUAAUACCGCAUAAGACAGUAGUCUGGCAUCAGACAGCUGUUAAAGAUUUAUCGAUGUAAGCUGGGCAUGCGUCCAAUUAGUUAGUUGGCGAGGUAACGGCUCACCAAGACUAUGAUUGGUAGGGGAACUGAGAGGUCAAUCCCCCACACUGGCACUGAGAUACGGGCCAGACUCCUACGGGAGGCAGCAGUAGGGAAUAUUGGGCAAUGGACGCAAGUCUGACCCAGCCAUGCCGCGUGCAGGAAGAAGGCGUUAUGCGUUGUAAACUGCUUUUAUACAGGAAGAAACGACUCUUGCGAGAGGCAUUGACGGUACUGUAUGAAUAAGCACCGGCUAACUCCGUGCCAGCAGCCGCGGUAAUACGGAGGGUGCAAGCGUUGUCCGGAUUUAUUGGGUUUAAAGGGUGCGCAGGUGGUUUAUUAAGUCAGUGGUGAAAGACGGUCGCUCAACGAUUGCAGUGCCAUUGAAACUGGUAGACUUGAGUAAAGUAGAGGUGGGCGGAAUUGAUAGUGUAGCGGUGAAAUGCAUAGAUAUUAUCAAGAACUCCAAUUGCGUAGGCAGCUCACUUGGCUUUUACUGACACUCAUGCACGACAGUGUGGGUAUCAAACAGGAUUAGAUACCCUGGUAGUCCACACUGUAAACGAUGAUAACUA